rnacentral:miRNA from 1 species
GGUCGGUUCGAGUAAGUGAUAUUUCGGAACAGAAUCUAGUUCCUUCGAUGCCAAUGUAAUCUAGUAAUAUGAUUUUUUCUGUGUUGGUGUAGAUUCUGUUCCGAAAUAUCACUUACUCGAAC